UUGGCGCAGUCUCCACUUCUCCAGCGCUGUUUGACUCCAGCGAGUUCUUCCCAGCUGACUCAGAUUGCGUUUUGUAAUCAGUGGACCUGAGGACAGAAGAGUUUGAGUCCACAGUGUGCACACCCUCGGCAUAGAAAGGCUUUUAAACCUUUGAAUGGGCAAGAGACCUGCAUAAGACAGAAGUCGUUGAAAAUAACCCUGUUGAGUGACAGGGAUCAUUUGGAAACGACACCGCAUGGACGUGUGAAACCCCCGGUGCACAGAUUUGAAUUUAAAUUGAAGGAAGCGAACAAUACGCCUGUCGUAAUUCCUUUCGACGCCGCGCUAAUCUCCCAAAUGGAAAGCAAAGCCGUGUGAAGGCCCCCUCAAGUAGCCUAAAUCUGCAUGUCCUUGGACUGUGGGAGGAAACCGGAGUACCCGCUACGGGGAGAACAUGCGGACUCCACGCAGAAAGGCCCCGGCAGAGAUUCGAACCCGCAACCUUCUUGCUGUGAGGCGACAGCGCUAUCCACCGCACGACCGUGCCAGCCGUGUCAGACUCAAAUCAACUCUGCUGGAGUUGAUUUAACACUGAGAAUUUUGGUGGUGAGGCUUUGUGGGGAGCAUUGACAAGAUAAUCACUCUCUGAAAAAAAAAAACCCCCCAAAAAAAACAAACCCAGGCUUGUACGGAGAGUGAAGAAAAAGAAAAACCCAUUUCACAGCUGUGUGCCGAAGUACAUAUUUAGGGCUUGAUACCCGAGGACAGGUGACAGCUUGUCAAAAAGCCAUCGCUACAGGUUACGGAUCGGGGGCCACGGAUUGGCCCGUAGGUUGCUACGCGAGCUUUGUUUUGUCUGUGCUGCCGAGCCCGGACGAGAAAAAAGGAAGGAGCACACUGCAGCGCUGCCGUCUAAUUACUUCUCUGCCUUGGGUCCUCAGACGUCUUGUUACGGCAAAAUUGAUGAUGUAGGUCCUCCCUCCGUCCGUGACUCCAAUCUAUUAAUUGGGAAUCCGCGGACAUGAUGGAUCACUAGUGAAUCAUGGGAGUAUAAGAAAUGCUAAAAACAAAAAAGAAAAAAAAAAGUUUGACUAAUUAAAUUUCACUCGUGUGCUGGGACAGUCCUAAUGGCUCAUUUUUUUGUGCAGUAGACAUUUCGUCUGUCCUUUGUUCUUUUGCAAUUAUGAGCCUGUCGUGUCUCUUUAGCUAACUGUCUCCUUGACAUUUCUCGAGUCCUAAAACGUUUCGAAACUUUUCAAAACAUUAGCUUCUGAAACCCCCGGAAAAUCACCGUUGCUUUGAAAGGAAGAUUAGUGAAAUACAAACAGCUUUUCUUUUUCUUUUUUUCUUCCACAGGCUCGUAAAUGAGCACCUUUACAAUUUGCCCACGAUGUCUGUGGGCCGUUUCCAUGACAUAACUGCAUUGUGGCUGAUGCACCUCCGAUUGACACGUCUCUAGCACCGCUAAAACGGUGCCGAUUUCUUUCUUUUCUUUUCUUUUUCUCCUUCCUUUCUUUGUUUUGAUGGCUUUGCAUCGCGCAAAGCUUUUCGUUCUAAGCGAAACCGGGCCAGGAAAGCUCUGAGUCCUCUCGGGCAGAAAAUCACGCGAGUUCAGUGCGGAGACGAGCCGGCCUUUUUCAAGGGGAAAGGAUUUCCUAACGC